rnacentral:other from 1 species
CAGACCCUGCUGUGUGCGUGUUGGACAUCUCGCGUUGAGCCAACGCUUCAGUUUAAGGGAAUUGAUAUACGGCGAGGGGAUGUAGUAGCGCCCGCAAGGCAGUAACCUCCCGAACAGAUUCCCACCUGCCGAUGCAGGUCCCAACAACGGUGUUCACACGGCAUAGCGGGGACUGU